AUGAAAGAUCAAGAAUCAUCAUCAACCAUGUCUAAACUCCCCAAGCCCUCAGAAGUUGACGCCGAUAACAUCAUUAAGCCCGAUCUUGAUGAACUAUCGGAUGAACAUCGCCAAGCCUAUGAAGCACGCAAAAAGCAGCAUGAAGAGGCUUUUGAGGCGCUCAAGAAGAAGCGCAAGGAGGAGGAUUUGGAAGCGUUUCUUUCAAGUUUCAAGAAGGACCGUCAAGGCAACAUCGCUCCGGUUGGAAACGUCAAUCUUCCUGCCCUCAUCGACGAACAAGAUGUAAUCACUGUGAGUAAAGUUUUUUCUCCAGAGCAAGUGGCUGUGAUUGAAAGUCUUGUUAGUAAGGGUAAUGUGAUGGCUUACAAUUUUUUUGUGGCUAGUGCUAAUGCUCAGAAAAAUAUCCCUCCAUCACCUAGUGGUACUGUUCGUAUAUCUGAAAACCCUACUCCAAUUUUACCUAUUUCAUCGGCACCACCUAUGCAACCACAAUAUAAUAUGCCGUUGAAUUUUUACCCUACUCAAACCAACCAGCUUGUGGCUGCACCUACACACCCUAAUCCUAUUAUGAGUGUGUCCAAUUCGGCGUCUACGCCGAAUCACUUUGUCACACCACCCAUAAGCGCAAGCAUGUUUGGUCUUCCAUCGAAUUAUGGUUCGGCGCCCAUCCCACAAGUUGCACCAAUAGCUAGUACUAAGGUUGCUCCUAUGUCAUUACCACAAACAUCUUCAUCUACCUCAGAUCCAAUUUUAGCUAAAUUAAGGGAGGAUUUGCAUAAGAUGUUUCUAGAAACUUUCGGAAACGAGCCGGAAGUAAAGAGUCGUGUGUACCAAAAGCCUUAUCCUGAACACUUCGAUGCAAUUUCUUACCCUCAAGGUUAUAAGGUUCCUGAUUUUGUUAAAUUUAGUGGUGAGGGUACGAAAACAACUUGGGAGCAUGUUAGUCAGUAUCUAGCGCAAUUGGUGAAGCAGGUUCCAUAG
rnacentral:rRNA from 1 species